AACUGUUCAAUCAAAAUUUCAAAGCUCAAAUUUUCUCUCUUUUGAUCAGAAAGCUUGAUUCGAUUUGAUCGAAGAUUCUCUCUCCGCCGCCAACUUCCGAUUGUGCUUUGUCGGUCUACGACGAUAUAUAAUCUCGGUUUUGGAGCUUCAAUCCACAGCUUUGUUAUCUUUUUCUCGAUCUCUGGCUUCAUCGCUCUUCACCUUAAUCACGUCACUUCUUCUUCUUCUUCUUCUUCUUCUUCUUCUUCGUCUUCCGCUGCGAUCAAGCCGAAACACGUCGUCGUCGGCAACAAUGGAAAGAUUGAAAUUGCAGGGAUCAUAUUCUGAACAAGGUGGGGUCCUACUGAUUCAGCCAGAAGGCCACCUAGGAGAUCUCCUCCGGUGAUGACAUCAACGGAAUUUAUGAUGAUAUGAACUUAGGAUUUUACCUUUUUGCAUAUGAUGACAUUGGGCAUUUCCUGCGAAAAGGUCUGCGACUCAUCUAGUCACAUUUGCAGUUUCACUCGGGUUAUCAGUAAGCACCCAGUCUUUUGGACAGCAGCCCUACUUUUUCCGAGUCUUUGUUUCUCCCAAAGGAAGAAAUGAGUACGUGAUGUGCUAGGUUAACUCACUGUAAUUAUCAAAAUGUACUGAAAUCUGAAAAGUAUAUUGGAAACCAGUCCAACAAUACCAUAGAAGGGCUGAAGAAAUAAUGAGGAUUGUCUCAGCUCGAUUGGAUUGGAAGGGAAUUUUGUAUUUGCUCCAAAAUGCUUUAGGCUGUGGAAUAAUGUUGAUGUUGUAUUACUCAUACUUUUGUAUCUGAAGUGCACUUUUAUAGCUGGAAUAAAGAGAGAAAUUACCAGAA